rnacentral:hammerhead_ribozyme from 1 species
AUCCUGAUGACGAGUCCCAAAUAGGACAAAAUGCUCGUCUUGGAU